UAUUCCUAAGUUAGAUUCGUUUUCUAAUCAAAUAUAUGAAAUCUGAUUAUAUAUCAAAUUUGAUUAUGCAUGUUAUUGUUAUCAACUAGAUAUCUCGAUUUCCCUAUUGGAUAUGAUCAAUUAGGUCCAUUUCCACAAGGGUUCUUCCUCUGUUUCCUCUUUCUUAUGAAUUUGAUGAUAUGGGAGAAAAUAGAAACUCAUUGGUAUAUAUCGAAGAUGAAGGAUGAAAUAAAAGAUCAAUUAGUUG
rnacentral:sRNA from 1 species